UCUAACACAUGCAAGUCGAGGGGGAAGCCAUCUUCGGAUGGUGGAGACCGGCGCACGGGUGAGUAACGCGUGGGAAUUUACCUUGGAGUGGGGAAUAACCGCUGGAAACGGCGGCUAAUACCGCAUACGCCCUUAGGGGGAAAGCUUUAGCGCUCUAGGAUGAGCCCGCGUUAGAUUAGGUAGUUGGUGGGGUAAAGGCCUACCAAGCCUACGAUCUAUAGCUGGUCUGAGAGGAUGAUCAGCCACACUGGGACUGAGACACGGCCCAGACUCCUACGGGAGGCAGCAGUGGGGAAUAUUGGACAAUGGGGGCAACCCUGAUCCAGCCAUGCCGCGUGCGUGAAGAAGGCCUUAGGGUUGUAAAGCGCUUUCACUGGUGAAGAUGAUGACGGUAGCCAGAGAAGAAGCCCCGGCUAACUCCGUGCCAGCAGCCGCGGUAAUACGGAGGGGGCAAGCGUUGUUCGGAAUUACUGGGCGUAAAGGGCGCGUAGGCGGGGUGUCAAGUUAGGGGUGAAAGGCCUGGGCUCAACCUGGGAACUGCCUCUAAAACUGGCACUCUAGAGUCCGGGAGAGGAUGGCGGAAUUCCCAGUGUAGAGGUG
rnacentral:rRNA from 1 species